CACGUGGCUAGGUGGUACCGGUGGAUCACGUGGCUAGUGUGUCGAUGAAGAGCGCAGCCAACUGUGUGAAUUAAUGUGAACUGCAUACUGCUUUGAACAUCGACAUCUUGAACGC
rnacentral:rRNA from 1 species